CCUACGGGAGGCAGCAGUGGGGGAUAUUGCACAAUGGGGGAAACCCUGAUGCAUCGACGCCGCGUGAGUGAGGAAGUAUUUCGGUAUGUAAAGCUCUAUCAGCAGGGCAGAAAAUGACGGUACCUGACUAAGAAGUCCCGGCUAACUACGUGCCAGCAGCCGCGGUAAUACGUAGGGGGCAAGCGUUAUCCGGAUUUACUGGGUGUAAAGGGAGCGUAGACGGCUAAUCAAGUCAGAAGUGAAAACCCAGGGCUCAACGUGGGGACUGCUUUUGAAACUGAGUAGCUAGAGUGCAGGAGAGGUAGGCGGAAUGCCUGGUGUAGCGGUGAAAUGCGUAGAUAUUAGGAGGAACACCAGUGGCGAAGGCGUCUUACUAGACUGUAACUGACGUUGAGGCUCGAAAGCGUGGGGAGCAAACAGGAUUAGAUACCCCAGUAGUC
rnacentral:rRNA from 1 species